CCCUAUGGGGUGCAGCAGGGCGUUGCGGAAGGCAUGCUUGAAGAUCACCACCCGCUCGCUCAAUCCCUUGGCCCGUGCCGUGCGGAUGUAGUCCUCCCGGAUGACCUCGAGCAUGUCCGCACGGGUCAGUCGGGAGAGAUAGGCAAGGCCUCCGUAGGUGAGGCAGAGAACCGGGAGCACCAAGUGCCACAGGCGGUCCAGGAUCCAUGCGGAGAAGGACCAGGUCUCAGCACCGAUGGAUGAGAUGCCGUAGACGGGGAAGACAUCCCAGAAAUCGCCGCCUCCCAGGAGCAUGAUGAGGAGCACGGCCACCCAGAAGCUGGGCAGAGAGUAAAGAAAGAAAAACAAAAGGGUAAGCAGGCGGUCCGAAAAGGACCCCGAGUGGGUAGCGGAAUAGAUACCGCACGGAAUGGCGAUGAGGUAGACGAGGAAUUGGCGGGGGGGC
rnacentral:rRNA from 1 species